CUUGUGAAACAAGGCGGUAUGGUUCUAACUGUUCCAUGGAAUGCCACUGCAACGUAUGCCAUCACGUUCACGGCUCGUGUGCUGAAUUCGGACAUAUUUGUGACGCGGGCUUAAGUAUGAACAAUGGACAGUGCAAACUAGAUACAACCUCCGACGACAGUGGCAAGUACGACGACUGUCGCUGUUGAUGCGGAAAUAGAAAUGGCAACAACAACCACUGAAUCACCAGACUCCUGGUAACUUACUGCAAAAACAUUAGUGCAUUUUGAUUUACAUAUAAUUUCACAAUACAUCUUAAGUAGGAAAACAUGAUGUCAACUGAAAAUGAUUUGUGUAAUGGAAGCUGUAUCUUGACUUUGCUACUGCAUGCUUUGCAACACACAUAAUAAUACAUACACUAAAACCAAUAUCAAGACAAAUACUUAAAGGAAUAUGUUGACAUCCUGUGCCGAAUCAAUUGUAUUUGAACUAACGAGCAUAGAAACAAUAUACCAUAUCGUAUUCACUUUUCUGUUAUUACCUAUAUUAAAGAACGAAAUGAGUGCUCUUUUGCAAGCUUUUGGAUCACAUCUUGUUUUCUUUAUUUUGGCGUAUAUUUUUCGUGUUUUGGACAUUUGAUUGUUGUAUGCGCUCUUUAAUUAUAUAUCUUGCCCCAUAUCGCACCGUAAAUAUAGCCAUGUGUGUAUAUACCUUUUUAAGAACUAUACAUAAGAGCGUUUUAAGAGUAACACUUAAAGAAUAUUCACUUUUCAAAACACUGCAGUUACGACCAGUCCAUCCUUCUUCGCAGCCUUUUGGACAACUGCCGUCUGUUGUUCCACACGCAUUCAGAGAAUCGUUAUUUGAACAGUGACACCUAUGAGUGCA